GUAGAAAUACAUGCACUGGGGGCGAGUGGAGACCCCUCCAAGAUCGCGGUCGGUGGGGAUACACGCUCCAACAGACUGGCCCAGUCCAUGUCACCUCUAUGUAUAUUUGAUCUAUGGAAAGCCACGUUAGGCUUCCAGCACCCAGUGUAUUCAGGUCUAUGUAGUUUUGAAUGUUUGGUUCUAGCUCACACAGCUUUGACAGGUGAAACUUAUUCACUGUAUUGAAGACUCACAGGUGAAGUUGAAAAUACCAUCUUUUGUAUUUUUGUGCAGGCACGACUUUCUGGUGUUAUACACUGUCCUGGCGUUGCAGAUCUAGGGGUUCCAGUUAAGACGUGGUCAGCCUUCUAAAGAAAGUGGGAAUCUCACCGAAGGCCAGGACAAAGGCUCAAACCAUCAUCUUUUCCUGGUAUCGAAUACCAAGGGACCUUCUGAAGACAACACAGUUGAAAAGCGCAGAGAAAUUGCUAUUCGCUGCCUCAUAGUCUAUCUUGGAGAGAAGGAGGAGGAUCUUUUCAAACAAUACAGCGAUGAGGAGGAGCUCAACGCAGACCUUGCAAUGCAAAUCAUGAAGAUUGCUAUCAUUGGUGAUGGGCCUGCAACCAUAUCGUUGAGGGAUCCAAGAUCCUGGAGAGGAUUGAUGUUGCCAGAUCCUGUGCUUUGAUGAUGGGAGUAAUCUACGCUCUGAACCUUACCUAUCCCAAGCAGCUGAAAUUUACCUUUGAGGUAUUUCAAAAGCUAUGCCUUGAGCUUGAUGGACAAAAAGCCAGCUCUAAAGUAAUGAAUCUUAAGUUUGGUAUUUUCUAGAGCAGACUUGAUAGACCAUUCGUGAGUGAGUUUCACAAAAACCUUAUUCCUGCAUUUCUGGCACUACUUCAUUGUGUUUUACUAAAUUUUAAAGCGCUGUUCUUAAGUCUUCUGAGUUAAUGUUUUGCCGUGUCUUAAAUGCUGUUAUUUGCACAUUUUUAAGGAAUGCGUUUAAUUUCUCCCAUGACCUGUGUUCUGAGGGUACUGGUGUGUUUUAAAGUUUGUGUAAUGCCCUCUUUAGCUGGCCUUAAUCUUGAGGGUGAAAAGUCAAAUAUAGAAGAGAAUCAAGAAUACUUUGUAAGAGUGCUGACAAAGUUGAAUGAAAGAAGCUUUGCUCAUUUUAUGUUUAAAUUAGUGCAUUUAAUGUAUAGCAGCCUGUCAUCUUUUGUUUUGAUUCACUGUCAAAUGUUAAAGCAAAAAAAAAAGAGGAUUCAAGUAAUAGGUUGUAUUACAAUUUUAAUACACAGUUCCUUAAGUUUCAGUGGGCAAUUUGUGUUCUAGGAAACUGAAGCCCACAAAUCUUGCACUUCCACACACGUUAAAGAAUUGUGAUGUUUGUUAUUGUAAUUAAAUGGGUCUAACUCAUUUGAAUA